rnacentral:rRNA from 1 species
GACGAACGCUGGCGGCGUGCCUAAUACAUGCAAGUAGAACGCUGAAGGAGGAGCUUGCUUCUCUGGAUGAGUUGCGAACGGGUGAGUAACGCGUAGGUAACCUGCCUGGUAGCGGGGGAUAACUCUUGGAAACGAUAGCUAAUACCGCAUAUUAGCAGUUUUUUCAUGAUAACUGUUUGAAAGCUGCAAUUGCACCACUACCAGAUGGCCCUGCGUUGUAUUAGCUAGUUGGUGGGGUAACGGCUCACCAAGGCGACGAUACAUAGCCGACCUGAGAGGGGGAUCGGCCACACUGGGACUGAGACACGGCCCAGACUCCUACGGGAGGCAGCAGUAGGGAAUCUUCGGCAAUGGACGGAAGUCUGAUCGAGCAACGCCGCGUGAGUGAAGAAGGAUUUCGGAUCGUAAAGCUCUGUUGUAAGAGAAGAAAGAGGGUGAGAGUGGAAAGUUCACACUGUGACGGUAUCUUACCAGAAAGGGACGGCUAACUACGUG